rnacentral:rRNA from 1 species
UACGUAGGAUCCGAGCGUUGUCCGAAUUUACUGGGCGUAAAGAGCGCGUAGGCGGUUUGUUAAGUCUCAUGUGUAAUCUCCCGGCUCAACUGGGAGGGGUCAUGGGAUACUGGCAGACUUGAGGAUAGCAGAGGAAAGCGGAAUUCCCGGAGUAGUGGUGAAAUGCGUAGAUACCGGGAGGAACACCAGAGGCGAAGGCGGCUUUCUGGGCUAUUUCUGACGCUGAGGCGCGAAAGCGUGGGGAGCGAAC